UGCUUCUCUGAUGUUAGCGGCGGACGGGUGAGUAACACGUGGAUAACCUACCUAUAAGACUGGGAUAACUUCGGGAAACCGGAGCUAAUACCGGAUAAUAUUUUGAACCGCAUGGUUCACAAGUGAAAGACGGUCUUGCUGUCACUUAUAGAUGGAUCCGCGCUGCAUUAGCUAGUUGGUAAGGUAACGGCUUACCAAUGCAACGAUGCAUAGCCGACCUGAGAGGGUGAUCGGCCACACUGGAACUGAGACACGGUCCAGACUCCUACGGGAGGCAGCAGUAGGGAAUCUUCCGCAAUGGGCGAAAGCCUGACGGGAGCAACGCCGCGUGAGUGAUGAAGGUCUUCGGAUCGUAAAACUCUGUUAUUAGGGAAAGAACAUAUGUGUAAGUAACUGUGCACAUCUUGACGGUACCUAAUCAGAAAGCCACGGCUAACUACGUGCCAGCAGCCGCGGUAAUACGUAGGUGGCAAGCGUUAUCCGGAAUUAUUGGGCGUAAAGCGCGCGUAGGCGGUUUUUUAAGUCUGAUGUGAAAGCCCACGGCUCAACCGUGGAGGGUCAUUGGAAACUGGAAAACUUGAGUGCAGAAGAGGAAAGUGGAAUUCCAUGUGUAGCGGUGAAAUGCGCAGAGAUAUGGAGGAACACCAGUGGCGAAGGCGACUUUCUGGUCUGUAACUGACGCUGAUGUGCGAAAGCGUGGGGAUCAAACAGGAUUAGAUACCCUGGUAGUCCACGCCGUAAACGAUGAGUGCU
rnacentral:rRNA from 1 species